CCUACGGGGGGCAGCAGUGAGGAAUAUUGGUCAAUGGACGAGAGUCUGAACCAGCCAAGUAGCGUGAAGGAUGACUGCCCUAUGGGUUGUAAACUUCUUUUAUAUGGGAAUAAAACGUUCCACGUGUGGGAUUUUGUAUGUACCAUAUGAAUAAGGAUCGGCUAACUCCGUGCCAGCAGCCGCGGUAAUACGGAGGAUCCGAGCGUUAUCCGGAUUUAUUGGGUUUAAAGGGAGCGUAGGUGGAUUGUUAAGUCAGUUGUGAAAGUUUGCGGCUCAACCGGAAAAUUGCAGUUGAAACUGGCAGUCUUGAGUACAGUAGAGGUGGGCGGAAUUCGUGGUGUAGCGGUGAAAUGCUUAGAUAUCACGAAGAACUCCGAUUGCGAAGGCAGUUCACUGGACUGCAACUGACACUGAGGCUCGAAAGUGUGGGUAUCAAACAGGAUUAGAUACCCUUGUAGUC
rnacentral:rRNA from 1 species